UGUGUGUGACAGAGGUGUUAGUGAACCUCAGGAGUGUGUGUCACAGAGGUGUUAGUGAACCUCAGGAGUGUAUGUGACAGAGGUGUUAGUGAUUUAGAGUGCAUGUUUUUGCCAGGUAGUGGUGGUGAAUGAAUUCCAGCAUUCACGAGGCGGGUGGCUCUCUGUAAUUUUGAGGCCAGCUUUGUCUAUAGAUCAAGUUCCAGGACAGCCAGGCUACACAGAGAAACCCUGUCUCGAAAGUUUUGCAGCUGGACAGACUUCCAUGUCAAUGUCAGUUCUAACAUUUUCUAUUUUUGAGACCUUCGACCAGUGUUUCUCAACCUAAUGCUGUGAACCUUUAAUAAACUUCCGCAGACAAAAUUAUUUUGUUCCUACUUUAUAACUUUGAUUUUGCUACUGUUAUGAAUUGUAAUGUAAAUAUCUGAUAUGUGACCCCCGUGGGGGGUUGUGAUCCACAGGUUGAGAACCACUGCAUUAAACAAUUCAUUUAUUAUCUGG
rnacentral:lncRNA from 1 species